UACGUAGGGUGCGAGCGUUAAUCGGAAUUACUGGGCGUAAAGCGUGCGCAGGCGGUGAUGUAAGACAGAUGUGAAAUCCCCGGGCUCAACCUGGGACCUGCAUUUGUGACUGCAUCGCUAGAGUACGGUAGAGGGGGAUGGAAUUCCGCGUGUAGCAGUGAAAUGCGUAGAUAUGCGGAGGAACACCGAUGGCGGAGGCAAUCCCCUGGACCUGUACUGACGCUCAUGCACGAAAGCGUGGGGAGCAAACAGG
rnacentral:rRNA from 1 species